rnacentral:rRNA from 1 species
AUUGAACGCUGGCGGCAGGCCUAACACAUGCAAGUCGAGCGGAGCGGCGGACGGGCGAGUAAUUCCUAGGCAUCUUCCUGGUCGUGGGGGAUAACGUACGGAACCGGGCGCUAAUUCCGCAUACUAUCAGAUGAGCCUAGGUGGGAUUAGCUAGUUGGUGGGGUAAUGGCCUACACAGGCGACGAUCCGUAACUGGUCUGAGAGGAUGAUCAGUCACAAGGGGACUGAGACACGGACCAGACUACUACGGGAGGCAGCAGUGGGGAAUAUUGAACAAUGGGAGAAAGCCUGAUCCAGACAUGCCGCGUGUGUGAAGAAGGUCUUCGGAUUGUAAAGCACUGUAAGUUGGGAGGCGUUACCAACAGAAUAAGCACCGGCUAACUUCGUGCCAGCCGCGGUAAUUA